rnacentral:misc_RNA from 1 species
ACAACAACUAAAAACAAUUAACAUAACUGCAUUUCAACAGCAUUCAUAAUGCGAAACCCACCUACACAUCCAAGGUAACAAAAAGAUUUGGUUUAAAAUGCAAUUGGAGAUCCAUAUCAUAUAACAUUAUAACAAUUAUGGCUAAACAAAUUCCCGAGUCUCCUGACGACACUGCAAUUAAGAACUGGGGAGCCAAAAAUAGGCACCGAGGAAAUAGAAAAUCUUCUAUGGACAUUGGAUGGUGCACUUCACACGCUGUUGGUCGACAGCCUGUAAUCAGGCCAAUUGCACAAAUCCAAUACAGCUUAACUGAUAUGAUAAAACACAGGAAUCAACUUGCUAUAUCCCAUUGGUAUACCCACAGUCCACAGAUUACACACAGGACAUAUAGCUAUGCGGUGAAAUUUUGAGCCAUUAGAAAAGCUUCACAUGUGGCAAAAACUCAAAGAAACUGUUACCAACUAAACGAAGAAACCUUCCUGCAUUAAAUUCCUGCUAUUUAUUCCAUUUUUCUGAUAACAAAAUCACUACAGGAAACAUUCGGAAGGCAUAACAUCAAGCCCCACAACAUCUAAACACUAUCAAAUGUGUCAUUCCUGUUUCCUCACCCUUGUCAUGGAUUAGUACACAUUAUCUGAUUGUAUUAAUAAAAAUGGCAAUGAAACCAGAAAUUGUAGGACAAUCAUCUUAAUAAAUCUAAUCCAAUAAUGCAUAUCAAGCAAGCAACAUUAAUGUAGAAAUUGACCAUUAAACUGCAAAAUUUAUCAUCCAGAGUAGCCAAAUAUAUAAUAAAAAAUAACAGCCAUAAAAGUAAGUUCAACAAACAGGUCCAAAGAAGAUAAUAUUCAACACUUGAAACGAAA